GACGAACGCUGGCGGCGUGCCUAAUACAUGCAAGUAGAACGCUGAAGGAGGAGCUUGCUCUUCUGGAUGAGUUGCGAACGGGUGAGUAACGCGUAGGUAACCUGCCUGGUAGCGGGGGAUAACUAUUGGAAACGAUAGCUAAUACCGCAUAACAUUGACUAUUGCAUGAUAGUUAAUUGAAAGGUGCAAAUGCACCACUACCAGAUGGACCUGCGUUGUAUUAGCUAGUUGGUGGGGUAACGGCUCACCAAGGCGACGAUACAUAGCCGACCUGAGAGGGUGAUCGGCCACACUGGGACUGAGACACGGCCCAGACUCCUACGGGAGGCAGCAGUAGGGAAUCUUCGGCAAUGGACGGAAGUCUGACCGAGCAACGCCGCGUGAGUGAAGAAGGUUUUCGGAUCGUAAAGCUCUGUUGUAAGAGAAGAACGAGUGUGAGAGUGGAAAGUUCACACUGUGACGUAUCUACCAGAAAGGACG
rnacentral:rRNA from 1 species